UUGGAUGCCAGGCUUUCUAGGUAGCGCUCUCUCUUUGUGACGCUCUCAGCUACUGUUCCAGCACCAUGCCUGCCUGCCUGCUGCCAUGCUGCCUACCAUGAUGGUCAUAGACUCACCCUCUGAAACUUGUUGGAUGGCGUGAAUGGGCAAGUAAGCAUAUAAGAGCUUCCUGCUGCUCUUGGGUCUUCUCACGUGGCCUGUUGCUGCUUUGUUCUGGGACUGAACUAUCAGAAGCAAACAACAUCUUGACGCAUGACGUUUACCUUGCGGAAGACAAUCUCACCAGCCUUCUCGGUGCAGAGAAUUCUUCCCUCAUUACAGCCUGUGUAUGCUGUGGGAGUAGCAGAAUGAUAUACAGCCAACUGUUACUGAGCACCAGACUGCAGAUACAAUGGGACCAGCCUGCAGUGCUUCCUGUGCCACGAUGGACCAACCACAUCCUCCAACCGCGGGUCUAGAGCCUGCAGUGAUGGCAGAGGAUGAAGGAGUUGGUUCUCUGCUGGUGCUCGCUUCCUAUAAAAGCCAAUCCUUUAUGAGCUGAUUGCCUUCCAAUAAAUUUGGGGUUGCUGCAUUCGUGCCCGCCUCCUGCUGCACACGGCUUCCUUGC
rnacentral:lncRNA from 1 species